rnacentral:rRNA from 1 species
CGAGAAUCCGGAUUAAUACCGCAUACCCUCUACGGAGAAAAAGCAGGGGAUCUUCGGACCUUGCGCUAUUGGAUGAGCCUAUGUCGGAUUAGUUAGUUGGUGGGGUAAAGGCCUACCAAGGCAGCGAUCCGUAGCUGGUCUUAGAGGAUGAUCAGCCACAUCGGGACUGAGACACGGCCCGAACUCCUACGGGAGGCAGCAGUGGGGAAUAUUGCACAAUGGGCGCAAGCCUGACGCAGCUAUGCCGCGUGUGUGAAGAAGGCCUUAGGGUUGUAAAGCACUUUCAGUAGUGAGGAAAAGCGCUGCGUUAAUAGCGCAAUGCUGUGACGUUAGCUACAGAAGAAGGACCGGCAAACUCCGUG